AUGCAUUCCACAAUCAGAAACCCAAAUAAGUCCGAUGCAUACUAAGUAUAGAGGAAAACAAACAUUUGAGACAGAAAGAAAGGAAAGAGAGAAAGUUUACCUUUGUUUCCGGUGAAGAGCUUUUAAUAGUCUCUCCUUCCUGACUUGCACUCUUCUCCCUCAUGCCUUACUAUCUAACCCCAAGUUUCAUAUCAGAUUUAAAGAGCAUCAAGAACAAAAUGGAUUGGAGUAUAUUUUUGAGAAACUGAAGAGACGGGAAACAAACAAAGGAAUAAUAUAUGGCUGAGUAAGAAAUGAAGAUGUGUUGGCUGCAAAAAUAAAAGCUGCCGCAGGGAACAAUAUCAACUAAGUAAUUGAAAUGACUAAAUUACCCUCAGGUUUGAAUUAAAUUCCACGAAGCACACACGUCGAAACCUAGCUCUUUAACAGAGAUACAUGCAUUCCACAAUCAGAAACCCAAAUAAGCCUACUACAUAGUCCUGACUAAAUAUAGAGGAAAGCAAACACUCGAAACGGAAAGAAAGGAAAGAGAGAAAGUUUACCUUUGUUUCUGGUGAAUAGCUUUAAAUAGUCUCUCCUUCCUGACGUGCACUCUUCUCCCUUGUGCUUUACUAUCUAACCCCAAGUUUCAUAUCAGAUUUAAAGAGCAUCAAGAACAAAAUGAAUUGGAGUAUAUCUUUGAAAAACUGAAGAGACGGGAAACAAACAAAGGAAUAAUAUACGACUGAGUAAGAAAUG
rnacentral:lncRNA from 1 species